GCGACCCCAGGUCAGGCAGGCCACCCGCCGAGC
rnacentral:rRNA from 1 species